GACAGAGGGUGCAAACGUUGUUCGGAAUUACUGGGCGUAAAGCGCGUGUAGGCGGCUAUGCAAGUCGGAUGUGAAAGCCCUCGGCUCAACCGGGGGAAGUGCACCCGAAACUGCAAAGCUAGAGUCUCGGAGAGGAUCGUGGAAUUCUCGGUGUAGAGGUGAAAUGCGUAGAUAUCGGGAGGAACACCAGUGGCGAAGGCGACUACCUGGCCUGUUUCUUGACGCUGAGGCGCGAAAGCUAGGGGAGCAAACGGG
rnacentral:rRNA from 1 species